CCCAGGAGGAAGGGGGGACUGUCAGCAGCACAGGAUUGAGGGGUUGGAAGAGACCUUUAGAAGAGCUGGUCAUUAUGCCAACCGGGUGUCUGCACUAAGCUCGGCAUGAAUAUGGUGACCUCCUGGGAGCAGGGGGCCACCAGGUUGCCUAAGGAUGAGUGAACUGGCCCAGAUCAGAAAGGGAGCAGUUCAGAACUCCGGCACCGACUGGUAGCAGGACUGUGCCUGGGCAAUAUAGCAAGAUCUUGGUUCUUAAAAGGAAAAAU
rnacentral:sRNA from 10 species